CUUCUUUGAAAAGAAAAAAGUCAGCACCUUUAUUAGUAAUUAAUUUAUACUUAUCAAAGAA
rnacentral:tRNA from 1 species